GGUGGGCUAUGUGACUUCUCCCUGCCUCAUAUGCACAACAACCAGGGGACUGAAACAGUGGUUAUGGAAGAUCCUUUUUCUUCCUAAACUGUAGAGAUGCGCGGUUUUCCAGAAGUCCCUGCAUCUUCUGGCUAAACAGUCCGCCUCCAAUUACAAAACAGCAAGGCCCUGGGGUGACGGGCGCAACAGAGGGAAAACUAGCCUCGACCCUCGGUGCUGUUUUCCAACCCCCACACUCCGCAGCGACCCGUGCCCGGCUGUCAUCCCAGAAUCAAUUUCUGCUGCCGAGACAACCUGAUGGAGUCUACGGGGAAAAGUGGAAGAAAGUUCUUGUUCCUGCGGAUCGGUGCAAGCGAAGAACGCUAACGACGGGAUGAUCUGGAGUUGGCUCUCCAUCCAUCCCCCUGCGCUAGUGGAAGGAGAAAUUACUGAAGGAAACCGCUCUAGGAAUGCCCGAGAAGAACUCUCCUCUCGGGAUGUACGAAAACCGCACGAUACCAGACGCCAGCGAGUUUCUUUUCUUUCUUUCUUUUUUUUUUUUUCCUUGAAACUUCACGUCGCGCUCAGAAAAUGCAGCAGGUCCCAAAAUGGAUUUCAGAAACUGCUCUUAGCAGAGGAAAAGGUUACUGGCUGUGGCAGACCCCCUUCUGGUGAAAUCUGAAACUCACAAGCCUCCCAGAAUUUGGGAUUUUGCUCUUAACCCAACGGUCAGGACAUUGUGGGGGUUUCUUUAAAAGUCUGAAGAGGCUUCGCAAAGUUUGAAAACCAAAGUAAAUAUCUGUCCGGUCAGGCCGGGAGUAGGCGGCCAGUAGGAGCGAUUCACUGUGGUUUCCCACAGAAAUGCCACAUUUGGGGGUUUCUACCUGGAGGAUACAGCUUGGUGGUUUUGCUGUGAGCGGUUCAAAUUCCUUUGAAACCCAACCAGACUUUGAAGAGGGAACAACAUGCCCGUGAGUGAAAACGGAAGCUUGAAAUGAACCUGUUGGGAACCGAAAGUUGGGUAUCCACCCCUCUACUCCACGUCAGGACCAGACAUCAGCUUUAGACCCAAGUUGAUCUUGGGUCUAAAGAGUUUUCUGGCCUUUCUAAAGCCUCUGGGCUUGGCAGCAGGACUCCAGGGUCCUGCCCCAGGCCCUUUGCAGCUGCUGUUGCCUCUGCCUGGGAGCAUCUCCACUUGGCUGUUCUUGGCACUCAGCACACAGCUCAGAAGUCAGCUCCUCAAAGGGGGCUUUCCCCAGCCAUUUGAUCUACUUGUGUCGGGCACCUACUUCCACCCCUGUCUCUCCUGCACAUCACACGCCCUGUUCCACGGCUUCAUAGCCCCUAUCACUACUUAAUUUAUCCUGGUUGGCUGCUUAUUUAUCUGUCUCCCCCUGCGUGGGUGUGCUCCAUCAGAGCAGGCUGCUGCCUGUCUCCGUCAGUCCUGUAUGCUCACGCCAAGAAGAGUGCUGGCCCGUAGGAGACCCUCAACAAAGGCAUGUCAAACGAAUGAAAGGGGCAAACAAGAUUAGGGUGACCGGCUCAUUCUGUCCCUUGGUUCCCUGUGUCUUCCGCUUUGGCGGAGAGGCUCUCAGAUGAGAAAGCCCAGUGUAAUGGGAACUCUAUUAAUGGUCCUGGAAAGUUAACACUCUAAGUAAUUAAGACUGUCAGAUGACGUCACUGCAGUCUCGUUGGUACAGUCCCAGUUAAUUGCUCCCUCCUUUGCGCUCCCCCCAGCACUUCUGUUCAUUUAAGGAACAUAUUUAUCACAUUAUAUGCUUGCUCAGUGAGCGCUCUCCUAAAUCGGAUGGCAAGCUCUUUGACGUGGAAGGAAGGGAAAGGGGCCUACAUUGAUUGACAAGGUGAAUUCGAAUUCAUUAAAAGACAUUGGUUAAGUGCC